GAGAGUAUAGCUCAGUGGUAGAGCACAUGCUUAACAUGUACGAGGUCCUGGGUUCAAUCCCUGGUACCUCCA
rnacentral:tRNA from 1 species